UUCGGUUUGUGCCACAAAGGAACAAUGCCA
rnacentral:piRNA from 1 species